UAGGGAAUAUUGGGCAAUGGAGGGAACUCUGACCCAGCCAUGCCGCGUGCAGGAUGAAGGCGUUAUGCGUUGUAAACUGCUUUUUAUAUAGGAAGAAAUAGUCCUUGCGAGGAAAGUUGACGGUACUAUAUGAAUAAGCACCGGCUAACUCCGUGCCAGCAGCCGCGGUAAUACGGAGGGUGCAAGCGUUGUCCGGAUUUAUUGGGUUUAAAGGGUGCGUAGGCGGUUUAUUAAGUCAGUGGUGAAAGACGGUCGCUCAACGAUUGCAGUGCCAUUGAUACUGGUAGACUUGAGUAUGAUUGAGGUAGCUGGAAUGGAUAGUGUAGCGGUGAAAUGCAUAGAUAUUAUCCAGAACACCAAUUGCGUAGGCAAGUUACUAAGUCAUAACUGACGCUGAGGCACGAAAGUGUGGGUAUCAAACAGGAUUAGAUACCCCCGUAGUCCCUGAGCGGGCUGGCAAGGCGCAU
rnacentral:rRNA from 1 species